ensembl:lncRNA
GCAACAUCCGCACUGAGCUGACGCUUUCAAUGAGCGGGACACUAAUCCAGACAUUUAUAAGAAAUCCUGCUACACCGCCCGACGAACCAUCAAACAGGCAACGGGUCAAUACAGGACCAAGAUCGAAUCCUACUGCACCAGCUCUGGUGCUCGUCUUGCAAACUAUCAUGGAUUACAAAGGGAAAUCCGGCCGUGAGCUGUCCAGCAAUAAUAAGGCUGUAACGUAACAAAAUGUGGAAAAAGUCAAGGGGUCUCAACACCAUCCAAAUGCACUGUAAGUGAAUUUGUCCCAAUACAUUUGGUCCCCUAAAAUGGGGAGACUAUGUACAUAAAGUGCUGUAAUUUCUUAACAGUUCACCCGAUAUCGAUGGAAAUACCCUAAAAUGAAAGCUGACAGUCUGCACUUUAACCCAAUAGUCAUUGUAUCAUCCAAAGUGCUGGAGUACAGAGCCAAAACAUCAAAGCAUUUGUCACUGUCCAAAUACUUUUGGAGCUCAUUGUAUUGCCUCAACCACCUCGUACCCCUGCACAUUAACUCUGUACUAGUACUCCUUGUAUAUAGCCUCAUCAUUGUUAUUUUAAUGUGUUACUAUUUCCUUUCGUUUUUUUCUUAUUUGCUUAUUUUCUUACUUUUUAACUCUACAUUGUUGGGAAAGGGCUCGUCUACACGUGGCGCAUGUGACAAAUAACAUUUGAUUUGUGUUGGGUUGGACUCGGAUAGCUGUUAUCUGAUAGGGCCUAGAUUAGUGGAGGCUCACCACCUCCACAUUUGUUAUCCAAAGUAGCUCUACAGGUGUUGGUCAUCAUGACCUAGGCAAAUUCAUAUGUUCACGGUUCACGAUAAACACACAAAAGUCCUCAAUUUACCUUGUGAACUUUAAUAUAGAAAACAGAAGUACCAGUGAAAACAAAAAUUGUCAGGGGACCUAGCUAUCCCAGCUCUGUCUGUAGGGGGAAAUAUCCAUCUACUCAUUAUCACCAGCAGGCAGCAGCUUGUGUGUGUGAUAGCGCUCAGAGGAAGGGCUGAUGCUCAGUGGGUUAAGACGUUACUUAGAGACCUGGAACACAAUAUCCCCUCGUCCAUUACCCAGGGGAGAAAGAGAGAGAGCCUCUGCCCUCCCACAGUGUGACCCUCCGACGGGGAGACAGGAGCAUCAACAUAUCCCUCUCCAGGAGCUGAAGUUCAUUAAGAUCAACAAUAAUUCUGUAUAACCAGGCAUUGUCUACUACCCUACCCGGUCUCUGGGGUAUGUAUGCUGUGCAUUGCAGACAGGAGAAUUUCAUUUGCAAAUGCUUCAUUCUAGUAAAUUUUAAAAUACAUUUUUUGCUAGUAGCUCGAGACAGCAAUUAUAAUCAUGUAAAGCUAUACUAACUCUGAGAAUUUAAAAUGUCAUCCUACCCAUGCAUCAGAAUUCUCUAGAGUCCUGUUACAGGUGAGGAUUGUGUGUGUGUGUUACAUUGGCAAGCACAGCCCUUCUACCAGGUCAAAUCAAAUGUUAUUUGUCACAUGCGCUGAAUAAAACAGGUGUAGACUUUACUGUUAAAUGCUUACUUAUGAGCCCUUUCCCAACAAUUCAGAGCUAAAAAGUCAAAUAAAUUUGAACAAAAUAAAAAAAGUAAAUAGUAACACAAAAUAACGAGAAUAUACAGUAUACAAGGAGUACUGAGUCAAUGUGCAGGGGUACGAGGUAAUGUAGGUAAUAUGUACGUAGGGGUAAUGAAUAGGCAAUCAGGAUAGAUAAUAUACAGAGUUAACAUACACUGUUGUUACUCUGUAUAUGUUAGAGUGUGAAAGCGUGUCCGUGUGUGAAUGUGUGACGUCAAUAUGCGUGUGUGUUUUGUGUGUGUAUGUGUGUCAGUGUAAGUAUGUGUGAGUAGAGCCCAGUGAGUGUGCAUUGAGCCGGUGCAAGAGAGUCAGAAAAACAUGAAUACAUAGGGGGGUCAAUGCAAAUAGUCAGGGCAGCUAUUUGAUUAACUGUUCAGCAGUCUUAUGGCUCGGGGGUAGAAGCUGUUCAGUAGCAUUUUGGUCCUAGACUUGGCGCUCCGUUACUGCUUGCCGUGCGAUAGCAGAGAGAACAGUCUAUGACUUGGGUGGCUGGAAUAUUUGGCCAUUUUUAGGGCCUUCCUCUGACUACGCCUAAUUUAGAGGUCCUGGAUGGCAGGGAGCUCGGCCCCAGUGAUGUAAUGGGCCGUACACGCUACCCUCUGUAGUGCCUUACGGUCAGAUGCCAAGCAGUUGCCAUACCAAGCAGUGAUGCGACCAGUCAAGAUCUUCUCAAUGGUGCAGCUGUAGAACCUUUUGAGGAUCUGAGGGCCAAUGCUAAAUCUUUUCAGCCUCCUGAGGGGAAGCGGCAUUGUCGUGCCCUCUUCACGACUGUAUUAGUGUGUUUGGACCAUGAUAGAUCCUUAGGGAUGUGGACACUGGGUUGGCGCUCCUCCCCCCUUGGGUUGUGCCGUGGCGGAGAUCUUUGUGGGCUAUACUCAGCCUUGUCUCAGGAUGGUAAGUUGGUGGUUGAAGAUAUCCCUCUAGUGGUGUGGGGGCUGUGCUUUGGCAAAGUGGGUGGGGUUAUAUCUAAUUCUCUUUUUCUCUCUUUCUUUCUCUCUCUCGGAGGACCUGAGCCCUAGGACCAUGCCUCAGAACUACCUGGCAUGAUGACUCCUUGAUGUCCCCAGUCCAUCUGGCCGUGCUGCUGCUCCAGUUUCAACUGUUCUGCCUGCGGCUAUGAACCCUGACCUGUUCACCGGACGUGCUACCUGUCCCAGACCUGCUGUUUUCAACUCUCUAGGGACAGCAGGAGCGGUAGAGAUACUCUCAAUGAUCGGCUAUGAAAAGCCAACUGACAUUUACUCCUGAGGUGCUAACUUGUUGCACCCUCGACAACUACUGUGAUUAUUAUUAUUUGACUAUGCUGGUCAUUUAUGAACAUUUGAACAUCUUGGCCAUGUUCUGUUAUAAUCUCCACCCGGCACAGCCAGAAGAGGUCACCCCUCAUAGCCUGGUUCCUCUCUAGGUUUCUUCCUAGGUUUUGGCCUUUCUAGGGAGUUUUUCCUAGACACCGUGCUUCCACACCUGCAUUUCUUGCUGUUUGGGUUUUUAGGCUGGGUUUCUGUACAGCACUUUGAUAUACCAGCUGAUGUAAGAAGGGCUAUAUACAUACAUUUGAUUGAUUGAUUUGAUGACACCGAGGAAGCUCACAAACCCGCUCCACUACAGCCCUGUCGAUGUGAAUGGGGGCCUGCUCGACCCUCCAUUUUCUUUAGUCCACGAUCAGCUCCUUUAUCUUGCUGAUGUUGAGGGAGAGGUUGUUGUCCUGGCACCACACUGCCAGGUCUCUGACCUCCUCCCUAUAGGCCGUCUCAUCUUCGUCAGUGAUCAGGCUUACCCCCUUCUUGUCUUCUGCAAACUUAAUGAAGGUGUUGGAGUCAUGUGUGAACAGGGAGUACAGGAGGGGACUAAGCACGCACCCCUGAAGGGCCCCUGUGCUGAGGGUCAGCGUGGCAGAUGUGUUGUUGCCUACCCUCACCAUAUGGGGGCUGCCCGUC